UCUUGGGUUGUAAACCUCUUUUCUCAGGGAAGAAAAAAAUGACGGUACCUGAGGAAUAAGCAUCGGCUAACUCCGUGCCAGCAGCCGCGGUAAUACGGAGGAUGCAAGCGUUAUCCGGAAUGAUUGGGCGUAAAGCGUCCGCAGGUGGCUAUGUAAGUCUGCUGUUAAAGAGUGAGGCUCAACCUCAUAAGAGCAGUGGAAACUACACAGCUAGAGUGCGUUCGGGGCAGAGGGAAUUCCUGGUGUAGCGGUGAAAUGCGUAGAGAUCAGGAAGAACACCGGUGGCGAAAGCGCUCUGCUAGGCCGCAACUGACACUGAGGGACGAAAGCUAGGGGAGCGAAUGGGAUUAGAUACCCCCAGUAGUC
rnacentral:rRNA from 1 species